rnacentral:rRNA from 1 species
AACGAACGCUGGCGGCAGGCUUAACACAUGCAAGUCGAACGCCCCGCAAGGGGAGUGGCAGACGGGUGAGUAACGCGUGGGAAUCUACCCAUCUCUGCGGAAUAGCUCUGGGAAACUGGAAUUAAUACCGCAUACGCCCUACGGGGGAAAGAUUUAUCGGGGAUGGAUGAGCCCGCGUUGGAUUAGCUAGUUGGUGGGGUAAAGGCCUACCAAGGCGACGAUCCAUAGCUGGUCUGAGAG